ACUGCCUGAUGGAGGGGGAUAACUACUGGAAACGGUAGCUAAUACCGCAUAACGUCGCAAGACCAAAGAGGGGGACCUUCGGGCCUCUUGCCAUCAGAUGUGCCCAGAUGGGAUUAGCUAGUAGGUGGGGUAACGGCUCACCUAGGCGACGAUCCCUAGCUGGUCUGAGAGGAUGACCAGCCACACUGGAACUGAGACACGGCCCAGACUCCUACGGGAGGCAGCAGGGGGAAUAUUGCACAAUGGGCGCAAGCCUGAUGCAACCAUGCCACGUGGGAUGAAGAAGGCCUUCGGGUUGUAAAGUACUUUCAGCGGGGAGGAAGGCGAUAAGGUUAAUAACCUUGUCGAUUGACAUUGCCCGCAGAAGAAGCACCGGCUAACUCCGUGCCGGGAGCCGCGGUAAUACGGAGGGUGCAAGCGUUAAUCGGAAUUACUGGGCGUAAAGCGCACGCAGGCGGGCUGCCAAGUCGGAUGUGAAAUCCCCGGGCUCAACCUGGGAACUGCAUUCGAAACUGGUAGGCUGGAGUCUUGUAGAGGGGGGUAGAAUUCCAGGUGUCCCGGUGAAAUGCGUAGAGAUCUGGAGGAAUACCGGU
rnacentral:rRNA from 1 species